UCCCGUACUUGGUGUUACUGCGAAGGGGGGACGGAGAAGGCUAUGUUGGCCGGGCGACGGUUGUCCCGGUUUAAGCGUGUAGGUGUGUGUUCCAGGUAAAUCCGGUUCACUUUAACACUGAGGCGUGACGACGAGGCACUACGGUGCUGAAGCAACAAAUGCCCUGCUUCCAGGAAAAGCCUCUAAGCAUCAGGUAACACGAAAUCGUACCCCAAACCGACACAGGUGGUCAGGUAGAGAAUACCAAGGCGCUUGAGAGAACUCGGGUGAAGGAACUAGGCAAAAUGGUGCCGUAACUUCGGGAGAAGGCACGCUGACACGUAGGUGAAGUGAUUUACUCAUGGAGCUGAAGUCAGUCGAAGAUACCAGCUGGCUGCAACUGUUUAUUAAAAACACAGCACUGUGCAAACACGAAAGUGGACGUAUACGGUGUGACGCCUGCCCGGUGCCGGAAGGUUAAUUGAUGGGGUCAGCGCAAGCGAAGCUCCUGAUCGAAGCCCCGGUAAACGGCGGCCGUAACUAUAACGGUCCUAAGGUAGCGAAAUUCCUUGUCGGGUAAGUUCCGACCUGCACGAAUGGCGUAAUGAUGGCCAGGCUGUCUCCACCCGAGACUCAGUGAAAUUGAACUCGCUGUGAAGAUGCAGUGUACCCGCGGCAAGACGGAAAGACCCCGUGAACCUUUACUAUAGCUUGACACUGAACAUUGAGCCUUGAUGUGUAGGAUAGGUGGGAGGCUUUGAAGUGUGGACGCCAGUCUGCAUGGAGCCGACCUUGAAAUACCACCCUUUAAUGUUUGAUGUUCUAACGUGGACCCGUGAUCCGGGUUGCGGACAGUGUCUGGUGGGUAGUUUGACUGGGGCGGUCUCCUCCUAAAGAGUAACGGAGGAGCACGAAGGUUGGCUAAUCCUGGUCGGACAUCAGGAGGUUAGUGCAAUGGCAUAAGCCAGCUUGACUGCGAGCGUGACGGCGCGAGCAGGUGCGAAAGCAGGUCAUAGUGAUCCGGUGGUUCUGAAUGGAAGGGCCAUCGCUCAACGGAUAAAAGGUACUCCGGGGAUAACAGGCUGAUACCGCCCAAGAGUUCAUAUCGACGGCGGUGUUUGGCACCUCGAUGUCGGCUCAUCACAUCCUGGGGCUGAAGUAGGUCCCAAGGGUAUGGCUGUUCGCCAUUUAAAGUGGUACGCGAGCUGGGUUUAGAACGUCGUGAGACAGUUCGGUCCCUAUCUGCCGUGGGCGCUGGAGAACUGAGGGGGGCUGCUCCUAGUACGAGAGGACCGGAGUGGACGCAUCACUGGUGUUCGGGUUGUCAUGCCAAUGGCACUGCCCGGUAGCUAAAUGCGGAAGAGAUAAGUGCUGAAAGCAUCUAAGCACGAAACUUGCCCCGA
rnacentral:rRNA from 1 species